UCACAACCCUCACCCAUGUCCUUUUAUCUUCCCCCCUCUCCCUCUUAUCUUUAACCCCUUAUCCUCUCUCACCCCGCUCCUCACUGAGUCUUGAGAAUUCAGAGAAAACCCACUUCGUUUCUUCUCGCUGCAUUUCUCUCCAUAACAGUAGAGAGAGAAAGAGAAAAGAGAGAGAGAGAGAGAGGAAAAUGGCCGCUACUUUCUCCACCAACUCGCUCCUCCACCUCAGCUCCUCUCUCAACCAAAAACCCACAUCUCCAAACCUCAGAAUAACCCAAAUUUCCAUGCGCCCAACUCGAUGGACCCAUGGUUUCCCUGCCAUUGUUAAGGCCACCGCUGCUACUUCCCCCAAGAUAGAGAAAUUGGGUGAAGAGAUUUCCGGCCUCACUCUUGAAGAGGCUCGAGGCCUUGUCGAUUGGUUACAGGACAAGCUCGGUGUCUCUGCGGCUUCUUUCGCACCUGCUAUUGCAGUUCCGGGUGUUGCAGGUGGAGCUGCUGAUGCUUCAGCUGCUCCUGUUGUUGAAGAGAAGACUGAGUUCGAUGUAGUUAUUGAGGAGGUUCCCAGUAAUGUUCGUAUAGCCACCAUUAAAGUGGUUAGAGCUCUGACGAACUUGGCUUUGAAGGAGGCUAAGGACCUUAUUGAGGGGUUACCCAAGAAGUUCAGAGAGGGGAUUUCGAAGGAGGAAGCAGAGGAUGCGAAGAAGCAGCUCGAGGCGGUGGGGGCAAAGAUCUCAAUUGUUUGAGUUCUAGUUUGUAAGAAGGGUAUAAUAUUCAAAACUACAGCUCUUUAAAACAAGUCAGUGCAAGUGCUUGCAAUUGCUUAGAGGGUUUUACCUGGAAUCAUGUAACUAAGUGCACAAGGCUUCUGUCUUAGGUGGUUGCAUCUUGGGGAGUGCUUAUUGUAUUUGGAUUAUUCGAAAUCUGUUUGCUGGCGUUGACAGGCAUGUGAAUUCCAGUGAAAUACCACAGACAUGAAAUUUGCUCGUAGAUAACAGACUAUACUGCAUCUUGAGGUUUCUUUCGUAGAAUGAAUUUUGACUCAUGAUAUUAUAACUAGACGCUAAGCUACUAUUGAGCUUGAGAUGAAGUGAGGUAUGAGAACAAUAGUGGAUCUUUUGCAUUAUGUAGUUUGUACUGCAUAACUGCUUUAGAUAAUUUUUUGUUCCUAGCUCUUAUGCAA